CCUACGGGAGGCAGCAGUGGGGAAUAUUGCACAAUGGGGGGAACCCUGAUGCAGCGACGCCGCGUGAGUGAAGAAGUAUUUCGGUAUGUAAAGCUCUAUCAGCAGGGAAGAAAAUGACGGUACCUGACUAAGAAGCCCCGGCUAACUACGUGCCAGCAGCCGCGGUAAUACGUAGGGGGCAAGCGUUAUCCGGAUUUACUGGGUGUAAAGGGAGCGCAGACGGCUGUGCAAGUCUGGAGUGAAAGGCGGGGGCCCAACCCCCGGACUGCUCUGGAAACUGUAAAGCUGGAGUGCAGGAGAGGUAAGCGGAAUUCCUAGUGUAGCGGUGAAAGGCGUAGAUAUUAGGAGGAACACCAGUGGCGAAGGCGGCUUACUGGACUGCAACUGACGUUGAGGCUCGAAAGCGUGGGGAGCAAACAGGAUUAGAUACCCCUGUAGUC
rnacentral:rRNA from 1 species